rnacentral:ncRNA from 1 species
CAGGAACAGCAUGGAAAGAAGACCCAUUGUGGACGACAAUGGCAGACCACCCCCAUCAUUGUUUCUUUACUUAUUCUGUGAAGCGGGGUUGACACAAUAUACAUAUGACGGCUACAUUGGCAUUGAAGCGCAUGCCGGUAUCGGUGUUGCUACGUUCGCGUAUUUCGCAUCGACGGCGUUGGUGUCCUCGGUUGCGCCUGGUUAGCUCCAGUCAGUUGUUUAUCGCUCCUUUUUUCAUAUAGUAGUGGUGGGUGGCUCUGCGACACUAUUGGCCAUGAAUGCGACGUGCGACCUGAUGGUUUGACUGGGGCGGUACAUCUGUCGAAUCGUAACGCAGGUAUCCCAAGGUGAGCUCAGUCAGGACAGUAACCUCCUAGUGUAGAGUAAAAGGGCAAAAGCUCAAUUGAUCUUGAUUCUCAUUCAGUACGUAUACAGACCGGGAAACCGUGGCCUAUCAAUCCCUUCGAUGAUGAUCCGAUAUUCAGAGUUUAAAUCAAGAGGUGUCAGAAAAAUUACUACCACAGGGAUAACCGGCUUGUGGCGGCCAAGUGUUCAUAACGACGCCGCUUUUUGAUCCAUCGAUGUCGGCUUGUCUUCCUAUCAUUGUGAAGCGGAAUUCACCUAGAGUUGAACUGUCCGUCCACUAAUAGGGAACAUGAGCUGGGUUUAGACCAUCGUGAGACAGGUUAGUUUUACUCUGCUGAUGUGCCCACUGCUAUGUUAUCAGUGAGGUGGGAGCUGGUCGUUGCUACGGUCAUUCUGUUUACUACGAGUGGAAUAGCCAGGUUCAGACAUUUGUUAUAUGUGCCUGGUCGCGAUCGGCCAAUAGUGCGAAGCUGCCAUCUGAGGGACUAAGGCUGAACGUCUCUAGGUCUGAAUCCCAUCCAAGCAUGAUGAUGCAACGAUACACCACUACGGCCUGCCACAUGGAUAGGCUACUAUAGCACUUCCAUCCACGAGGCUUGGGACGGAGCCAGCCAGCGUGCCUCGCCACUCGUGAUUGGUCUGGCAACAGCAGUGCUAAGCCAGAGCGUUGACCAUAACCAUAUGCAUUGAAUUGUAAUGAUGCUGCUGCUUUUGCAUGGUGAUUGAUACGAUACCCAAUUGUGGAAUGAGUGUGGAGGCACAAAGUCGCUUGUAGACGACUUAAUGUUUUGUCGGGGAGACGUGAGUAUUCGAACAGCUAUCACACUGCAAGGUAUUGAGUCCUAUCCCUACUAGACGUAAUAAUUU